rnacentral:lncRNA from 1 species
GUUGUUUUUUGUUUGUUUGUUUUUUGUUUUGUUUUUUGUUUUUUUUCUAUUUUUCCUACUCUGGCAUGCCUGUCUGCUAAGGCAGUAUUUCUACCUCCUUGUGAUGACAGCUACUGCAAUAUGAGGAGAUUCUGCAUUUCAAAAGUAACACUUGUUGAUCCAAACCACACAACUGCAAUACUCUCUACAUCACUGUAAAAUCUGAAGACUGGCAACUUGAUAUAUUACAGAGCUAAUAGUCGGCACCAGUCUGGACAUCACUGAAGGAGAAAGAUUCACUUCUCGGAGAGAUGACUACUGCAGCUGCCUCAGCCUGCGUGAGGUUUCUGCUGGGGUCACGCU